CGGGGGGACAUGCCGGCACGCUGGCCGGUAGCUAAAUGCGGAAGAGAUAAGUGCUGAAAGCAUCUAAGCAUGAAACUUGCCCCGAGAUGAGUUCUCCCUGAGACUUUAAGUCUCCUGAAGGAACGUUAAAGACGAUGACGUUGAUAGGCCGGG
rnacentral:rRNA from 1 species